rnacentral:tRNA from 1 species
UGCAUCGGCCGGGAAUCGAACCCGGGGCGCCCGCGUGGCAGUCGAGCAUUCUACCACUGAACCAAAAGGAAAC